rnacentral:piRNA from 1 species
AUCUGAAAGAUGUUUGUGAAGCC